AAAUUGAAGAGUUUGAUCAUGGCUCAGAUUGAACGCUGGCGGCAGGCCUAACACAUGCAAGUCGAACGGUAACAGGAAACAGCUUGCUGUUUCGCUGACGAGUGGCGGACGGGUGAGUAAUGUCUGGGAAACUGCCUGAUGGAGGGGGAUAACUACUGGAAACGGUAGCUAAUACCGCAUAAUGUCGCAAGACCAAAGAGGGGGACCUUCGGGCCUCUUGCCAUCGGAUGUGCCCAGAUGGGAUUAGCUUGUUGGUGGGGUAACGGCUCACC
rnacentral:rRNA from 1 species